AUUGAACGCUGGCGGCAGGCCUAACACAUGAAAGUCGAACGAGUGGCGGACGGGUGAGUAAUGUCUGGGAAACUGCCAGAUGGAGGGGGAUAACUACUGGAAACGGUAGCUAAUACCGCAUACCAUCGGAUGUGCCCAGAUGGGAGUAGCUAGUAGGUGGGGUAACGGCUCACCUAGGAGACGAUCCCUAGCUGGUCUGAGAGGAUGACCAGCCACACUGGACCUGUGACACGGUCCAGACUCCUACGGGAGGCAGCAGUGGGGAAUAUUGCACAAUGGGCGCAAGCCUGAUGCAGCCAUGCCGCGUGUAUGAAGAAGGCCUUCGGGUUGUAAAGUGCUUUCAUCGAGGAGGCGUUACUCGCAGAAGAAGCACCGGCUAACUCCGUGCCAGCAGCCGCGGUAAUAC
rnacentral:rRNA from 1 species